rnacentral:rRNA from 1 species
CGAAGAACCUUACCAGGUCUUGACAUCCCGCUGACCGCCAUGGAGACAUGGCUUUCCCUUCGGGGACAGCGGUGACAGGUGGUGCAUGGUUGUCGUCAGCUCGUGUCGUGAGAUGUUGGGUUAAGUCCCGCAACGAGCGCAACCCUUGUCCUUAGUUGCCAUCAUUCAGUUGGGCACUCUAAGGAGACUGCCGUAAUAAAACGGAGGAAGGUGGGGAUGACGUCAAAUCAUCAUGCCCCUUAUGACCUGGGCUACACACGUGCUACAAUGGACGGUACAAACGGUCGCGAAGUCGCGAGACGGAGCCAAUCCGAGAAAACCGUUCUCAGUUCGGAUUGCAGGCUGCAACUCGCCUGCAUGAAGCCGGAAUCGCUAGUAAUCGCGGAUCAGCAUGCCGCGGUGAAUACGUUCCCGGGCCUUGUACACACCGCCCGUCACACCACGAGAGUUUGUAACACCCGAAGUCGGUGAGGUAACCUUUUGGGGCUAGCCGCCGAAGGUGGGACAGAUGAUUGGGGUGAAGUCGUAACAAGGUAGCCGUAUCGGAAGGUGCGGCUGGAUCACCUCCUU